rnacentral:ncRNA from 2 species
UUUCAAUUUAAUAAUAUAAUUUAUAUAAGCUUAUAAUUUGGUUAAGCGUUUCUAUCGACUACCUAAUAGUCCGACUAUAAAUUAUAAAAGCAUUGUU